AACACAUGCAAGUCGAACGGGAAACAUUUUAUUGAAGCUUCGGCAGAUUUAGCUUGUUUCUAGUGGCGGACGGGUGAGUAACGCGUGGGUAACCUGCCUUAUACCGGGGGAUAACAGCCAGAAAUGGCUGCUAAUACCGCAUAAGCGCACAGAACCGCAUGGUUCCGUGUGAAAAACUCCGGUGGUAUAAGAUGGACCCGCGUUGGAUUAGCUAGUUGGCAGGGCAGCGGCCUACCAAGGCGACGAUCCAUAGCCGGCCUGAGAGGGUGAACGGCCACAUUGGGACUGAGACACGGCCCAGACUCCUACGGGAGGCAGCAGUGGGGAAUAUUGCACAAUGGGGGAAACCCUGAUGCAGCGACGCCGCGUGAAGGAAGAAGUAUCUCGGUAUGUAAACUUCUAUCAGCAGGGAAGAUAAUGACGGUACCUGACUAAGAAGCCCCGGCUAACUACGUGCCAGCAGCCGCGGUAAUACGUAGGGGGCAAGCGUUAUCCGGAUUUACUGGGUGUAAAGGGAGCGUAGACGGCGCAGCAAGUCUGAUGUGAAAGGCAGGGGCUUAACCCCUGGACUGCAUUGGAAACUGCUGUGCUUGAGUGCCGGAGGGGUAAGCGGAAUUCCUAGUGUAGCGGUGAAAUGCGUAGAUAUUAGGAGGACACCAGUGGCGAAGGCGGCUUACUGGACGGUAACUGACGUUGAGGCUCGA
rnacentral:rRNA from 1 species